AUGUCUCUUUGUAAUUAAUGUAUAGGGAGUCCGGCCUGCCCGGUGAUGAGAUUUAACGGCCGCGGUAUUUUGACCGUGCAAAGGUAGCAUAAUAACUUGCUUCUUAAUUGGAGGCUAGAAUGAACGGCCAGACGAGAGUAAGGCUGUCUUUUUUACAUUUAUUAAAAAUUAUCUUUUGGGUUAAAAGGCCCGGCUAAGACUGAAAGACGAGAAGACCCUGUUGAGCUUUAAAGAAGAGAAGUAAUUUUGUUAUUUUAAGAUUGCUUUUUACUUCUAGAUUUUGGUUGGGGCGACUGCGGAGUAAAAAAAACCUCCGUUAGCUUGAAUGGCUUACUAUCUAUGAUCCAUUAUUUAUGAUAACAGAAAUUAGUUACCAAAGGGAUAACAGCGUAAUUCUUUUAGAGAGAUCUUAUCGAAAAGGGAGAUUGCGACCUCGAUGUUGGAUUAAGAUAUACUAGAAGGCGCAGAAGUUUUCUAAGUUAGUCUGUUCGACUAUUAAAUUCUU
rnacentral:rRNA from 1 species